GAUGAGCGCUGGCGGCGUGCUUAACACAUGCAAGUCGAACGGGAAACAUUUUAUUGAAGCUUCGGCAGAUUUAGCUUGUUUCCAGUGGCGGACGGGUGAGUAACGCGUGGGUAACCUGCCUCACACUGGGGGAGUAACAGUCAGAAAUAGACUGCUAAUACCGCAUAAGACGCACGGAACCGCAUGGUUUGUGUGAAAACUACCGGUGGUGUGAGAUGGACCCG
rnacentral:rRNA from 1 species